ensembl:lncRNA
GAGGAAAAGAUACCCCAGAGCUGCAGGCCAACCUGAGUGGACACACUGAGAGUCAGAUGUGCCUACCUUGCCCAGGCUGUGCUCAAGCAAAGUCAGCUUCUUUGCUAUUGAGAGUUCAAGCCCAUCAAUAUCAUGCUGCAUUUCCUUGUCAUUGUGUUGCUGGUAGUUUUCAAAUUUAGUUUUGUUAGCCUCUCAGCCCUGCCGCACUUGAACUGUCCUGAAGGCUCUCCCUCUGGAAAUGGGAAUUCUACUUGUGCAGGCAUGUCCCCAGCUGUCCCAGUUGUUGGGAUCCAUGAUAAGAAGAUGACUGAGAUCUGGGCCUGGAAGGAUGAGUGAUGUUUUUGUCAGGAUGAAGGAACCUAUGCACAGAGAGGUUAAGCAAUGAACUGAAAGUCACACGGCCGUUAUAGCUAAUAGCAGAGCCAGUAACGAGUCCACAUGGGUGUCUCCAGUGCCAGUGAUCUUAGCCACAUUUGUGUCACCUCUCUACUUCAGCAAUGAAGUGUACAAAGAACUGAGAUACCUUUUCAUAAGCCAGUAAAAGAAACACGCAUCAGAGAAGAAAUUGUUUUCAGUAAUCAAGGACUUCUUGACUUCUUUAUAUAUUAACAAAUAUAUUAUGAAAAAAAUAGUUCACCUGUACCCAGGGGCAGUAGAGCCGCUGCAUUCACUGGAGCAUCAACAAAAAUUCUUGGGUGAGAUAAUAGUGGACCCUUGCCGGGAGCAGGAGCUCCACCCAUGACAAAGGUCAUGAGGAAGGAGGCUCGGCAUACGCAAAGGCGGGAUCGAGCCUCAGGAGUCCCCCUGGAAAUUCUCGAGCAUCUACCCCCAAAACCAGAGUUUGCCUACUUUCUGCUUUGUGCUCUCACUUACACCUCUGACUUUAUGGGGGGCUGUCCCCCACUACCUCUCUCUGAAAAAAAGAUUUAACUUACAGC